rnacentral:rRNA from 1 species
UACGGAGGGUGCAAGCGUUAUCCGGAUUUACUGGGUUUAAAGGGUGCGUAGGUGGGUAGGUAAGUCAGUGGUGAAAUCUUCGAGCUUAACUCGGAAACUGCCAUUGAUACUAUUUAUCUUGAAUACUCUGGAGGUAAGCGGAGUAUGUCAUGUAGCGGUGAAAUGCUUAGAUAUGACAUAGAACACCAAUUGCGAAGGCAGCUUACUACAUAGUUAUUGACACUGAGGCACGAAAGCGUGGGGAUCAAACAGG